ACUCCUACGGGAGGCAGCAGUGGGGAAUAUUGCACAAUGGGCGCAAGCCUGAUGCAGCCAUGCCGCGUGUAUGAAGAAGGCCUUCGGGUUGUAAAGUACUUUCAGCAGUGAGGAAGGCGGAGUCGUUAAUAGCGGCCUCGUUUGACGUUAGCUGCAGAAGAAGCACCGGCUAACUCCGUGCCAGCAGCCGCGGUAAUACGGAGGGUGCGAGCGUUAAUCGGAAUUACUGGGCGUAAAGCGCAUGCAGGCGGCCUGUUAAGUCAGAUGUGAAAGCCCGGGGCUUAACCUCGGAAUUGCAUUUGAAACUGGCAGGCUAGAGUCUUGUAGAGGGGGGUAGAAUUUCAGGUGUAGCGGUGAAAUGCGUAGAGAUCUGAAGGAAUACCAGUGGCGAAGCGGCCCCCUGGACAAGACUGACGCUCAGAUGCGAAAGCGUGGGGAGCAAAC
rnacentral:rRNA from 1 species